rnacentral:rRNA from 1 species
UAAGGAAUAUUGGACAAUGGGCGCAAGCCUGAUCCAGCCAUGCCGCGCGAAGGAUUAAGGUCCUCUGGAUUGUAAACUUCUUUUAUAAGGGACGAAAAAAGGGAAUUCUUUCUCACUUGACGGUACCUUAUGAAUAAGCACCGGCUAACUCCGUGCCAGCAGCCGCGGUAAUACGGAGGGUGCAAGCGUUAUCCGGAUUCACUGGGUUUAAAGGGUGCGUAGGCGGGUAUUUAAGUCAGUGGUGAAAUCCUAGAGCUUAACUCUAGAACUGCCAUUGAUACUAUUUAUCUUGAAUAUUGUGGAGGUAAGCGGAAUAUGUCAUGUAGCGGUGAAAUGCUUAGAUAUGACAUAGAACACCUAUUGCGAAGGCAGCUUACUACGCAUAUAUUGACGCUGAGGCACGAAAGCGUGGGGAUCAAACAGG